CACUUGUGAGGCAGGUGGUGGAACCACUGAGCUAAAUCCCCAGCCCCUCUUCGACGUCUUUUAAACUACUCUUGCUCUGUCUUGUGUAGGUUUUGACUAAGGUGUUAGCGUGAAUCUAGUACUCUCUCUUCACCAUAGUAGGAAGGACGUAGGUGUUUUCACGCUUUGGUUCUUGAUUAUAACGAUGUACAGUUAGUAAUUGUCGAGGUCCUUUAUUGUCACUUAUUAGGUCGUUCAGGUUUCAUUUAUCAUUAUGUUUGUCCCCACAGACCUGACUGUACAUAUAGCAUGGUUGAUUCCCAAUGAUUCGUAGUUGGGGUGUAGACAUCAGAAUCCCCGGGAUGGGUGACAUCUCUGUGGAUCUCACUCUACUUCACCUUUGCAGCUCUGCCCUCUGACAAGUACAUCACUCUUGCCCAUUCUACAAAUGAGGAAACGGAGGCUCAGAGAUGUUGAGUGGCUAGCCAAGGGCACACAGCUAAUAAGAGUGCUUUUGGAGCGUGGCCCUGGACUCCUACUGCCUCAGGAAGCAGCUUCCCUGCAGGGCGUGGGGUCAGCAGCUUGGUUGCUGGGGGUCUGAUCACUGACCUCUGCUCUGCCCCACUACUCAAGGAUCCCUGAUUCUAGGCAGAGAAAUCGUCUUCCAGGUGUAAAUGCGGAGACUAAAACACAAGGUUUUAUUGUUCAUCUAGUUGGCUUAUGGCUUUGCAGGAAGGUAGGAAAACCCAGAGAUGGAUUAGCAGGACAUCUGCCUGGGUAACACUGCGCCCUGUGCCUUCCCAGGGCUGAUCAGCGGCCACAGCAGGUUCAUCAUCUCAAUUGUGGAGGACGAGGCAGGUGAGGACAGCCUGGGGUUCCAGGCGCCUGCUCACAGUGCACAGACAGCCCCGGCCCGGCAGCGCCAUCAGCGUGAGCAGCGCUGCUUCUGCUGUGAUAGCAGUCGCUGCGCCAUUUCUCACCAGGCCCCAGUGCUGCCCCGAAUGCCCUCCUUCUCCUCCGUCCUCUGUGACUGACGCUCACUGCGCGGGCGGGAGGUGGCCUGUGAUGCCAGCCCAUCCAUCCUGGCUGGACGGCACCUGUUCUGCGAGGCUCUCUGAGCCCACUCCUGGCUGCAGACCCGGCAAAGCAGUCCAAAGAACGUGAGGCCCUCGAAGCUGGCUGGUGAAGAAGCCCUGCCCCGGCUCUCCUGGAGUGCAGGUGAUGCUGGGGUUCUCAGCUUCAUCUUAGCGGGGUGUCCACUGCCCGAAAGGAGCACGGACCCGAGCUCAGGGAGGAUGCUCCUGUGCAGGCCCGGGUGGGGACAAGGCGAGCUUCCUUGUGACCAGGCUGGGGCAGAGACCCCGAGACUGCACCCACCAGGAGGACCCAAGGCAUCCAGGCCAUCGGACAUCUAGGAAACACUGUGAAACAGUGACGACACCGUGGAGAUGCUGCUGCUCCGACUCUGUCAAUAACACGGUCCCCAGCGGCGCGGUCGGCCUGCUCUGCGUCCACUCCAAGCUUUCCACGACCCGGACCCAGGUGACCGGGGCCACCUCUCAAGGUCCUGCUGGACAGUGGGGACAGAGGCAUGCCCUGCGGGGAGGUCAGCGCUAGACAGCGCCCCGCAGGCCACGCGGCGCAACUGCAGGUCCGUCCGCAGCGCGUCGAGGGUGCUGCAGCUGCAUUUCCAUAGCCGCAGUUUUGAGUCAGUCCUACCUGGGCGACACGGCCCGACCGUCUGCCUGCCUGGGUCCGCACUCCUCACUUAAAUGUACGUUUACAAAAAAGCAGGGCCACCCCAGGGCCACGCUGCAAGGCCAGCGCGCUGACCUCGAGGCCGGGCUGCUCCCCAGGGCUGGUGGAGCAGCCAUCUGUGUCUGGGCCUGGAAGCCCCCGCGCCCCGAUCAAGGAAGACCAUGAAGGUCGAGACUGGAUGCCCGCGGUGUGAGAACACUGAAAAAGCGAGUCCCGGUUACGUGUUUGUGAUUACAGGGCACGCGGGCUUGCGUGUAACUUGCUCAUAGUCAAGGACUGGAAGGGGAAAUGCAGAAAUGAAGUCAUGGCCGUGGCUUGAGAAACCUUCCAAGCUGAGCAGGGCGGUGCUCCGGGAGGCUAAGGCAGGAGAACCUCAAGUUCAAUCCCAGCCUGGGCAAUUUAACAACCUAGUGA